AUGUGGUGAGCUCGGCGAUGGAAACCAAAACGCGGAGCAGAUGUUCCCGGGGCGGCCUCGGCGAGGAGCGCAUCUGGCACCGCCGCUCCUCCCCGCAGGAUCCUCCCUCCGCAGAUUCAGCCCAGGACUCCAGGGAUGCAUAUUCCUCUCCUGGAACUUGUAUAUCCGGCCUGAGGAUGAAAACCCCCCGAAGCCCUGAGCAUAACAAGCAUUUCUUGUAUUUCUGCUGUCUCCGUCACAUCGGGCAUGUAGCGAACGCUCGGGCUGAUAAACAGCAUCUGGUUGGAGUCAGGAGGCGGAGGAAAUUCUUGUACAAAAAUGGAAACGCGCCCCUUCUGCCAAGCUAUUAAUUCUGCUUCCUAUGGAAACCGAGGGGUCCCUGCCUUUGUGCUGGGAUUCUGCACUCAACUUCCAAGUUUAUUUUUAUGCCCAGAUUUGGCGAAGCACUGAGGGCUGAGGGUGGUGCUACGUGUGAGCUGAGGUCUCUCCCUGAGCGAGGCUGGAUCUGAAACACCUACCAGCACCCACAGGCACGUGCUCCAGCAAACAUCCCCACACUGGCCUUGUUCCUUACUAUGAGACUUUCUUUUCUUGUCCUUGCCAAGUUAUCCUCUGCUUUAAUUAAUUUUGCACAGCGAGCCUGGGAGCUGCUGGUGGUUUUGAGCCUCUGGAAUAGUCAGGGAAGCAAUUUAAUCAGCACGAGUGAGCCAAAGUUGCUUAAGCGAUUUGUAAUAAGUUCCAGGCUCUUCCACAC